rnacentral:rRNA from 1 species
AACGAACGCUGGCGGCAUGCCUAACACAUGCAAGUCGAACGAGACCUUCGGGUCUAGUGGCGCACGGGUGCGUAACGCGUGGGAACCUGCCUUUAGGUUCGGAAUAACUCAGAGAAAUUUGAGCUAAUACCGGAUAAUGUCUUCGGACCAAAGAUUUAUCGCCUUUAGAUGGGCCCGCGUUGGAUUAGCUAGUUGGUGGGGUAAAGGCCUACCAAGGCGACGAUCCAUAGCUGGUCUGAGAGGAUGAUCAGCCACACUGGGACUGAGACACGGCCCAGACUCCUACGGGAGGCAGCAGUGGGGAAUAUUGGACAAUGGGCGAAAGCCUGAUCCAGCAAUGCCGCGUGAGUGAUGAAGGCCUUAGGGUUGUAAAGCUCUUUUACCCGAGAUGAUAAUGACAGUAUCGGGAGAAUAAGCUCCGGCUAACUCCGUGCCAGCAGCCGCGGUAAAGUGUGACUGU